CCAACUGGAUGAGCUUUUUGCUGACAUGUCAAUGAAAGUGCAUCCAGUUGGACGUAUUUUCUUUGGAAUUUUCAGAAACGCUUCCAGUUGAACGCGCUUUUCCUGACAUGUCAGUAGAAAGCUCAUCUAGUUAG
rnacentral:pre_miRNA from 1 species